AGUGAACGCUGGCGGUAGGCCUAACACAUGCAAGUCGAACGGCAGCACAGUAUGAGCUUGCUCUUACGGGUGUCGAGUGUCGGACGGUUCCGGAAUACUUCGGAAUCUACUUUUUCGUGGGUGAUAACGUAGGGUAACUUCCUCUAAUACCGCAUACGACCUACUUGCGUGAGCAGGGGUUCUUCUGACCUUGCGCUAUUGAAUGAGCCGAUCUCGGAUUAGCUAGUUGGCGGGGUAAAGGCCUACCAAGGCGACGAUCCGUAGCUGGUCUGAGAGGAUGAUCAGCCACACUGGAACUGAGACACGGUACAGACUCCUACGGGAGGCAGCAGUGGGGAAUAUUGGACAAUGGGGGCAAGCCUGAUCCAGCAAUACCGCGUGGGUGAAGAAGGCCUUCGGGUUGUAAAGCCCUGUUGUUGGGAAAGAAAAGAAGCAGGUUAAUACCCCGCUGUUCUGACGGUACCCAAAGAAUAAGCACCGGCUAACUUCGUG
rnacentral:rRNA from 1 species